GACUUUGAGUCCAUUUAAGCAUGGCCUUCCCAGGAAAAUAAUUUUAAAAACCGAUGCUCAGAAAGAUGAAGCGCCUUCAUUGAGGUUACAACGCUCAGAAGAGGAGGGACCAGGAGUGGACACCCUAUCUGCUGAUACCAGCUCCCCCGAGCUGUGUAGGGCAGCUCCAAGGAACCCUGAGAGCUCCUUCUCACCCAGCCUCCAUGAUUUGCCAUCCAGCAGGCCACCAUGUCUUUGCCCCUGCCCUUUUCUCUGCCUGGUGUAUCCCUUCCAACUUUGCUCCCUGGAAUUUGCCCGUUGAUUUUUCAUGACCCAGCCUACUGUCCAUUCCUCCAUGACUAUGACUCUCUUUUGUCCUCCCUCUGUACUC
rnacentral:lncRNA from 10 species